UACCAGCUCUCCGAGUGGUAGGGAUGAUUAUUGGGCUUAAAGCGUCCGUAGCCGGCUUAGCAAGUUUCCUGUUAAAUUCAGCGACCUAAUCGUUGAGCCGCGGGAAAUACUACUAGGCUAGGAGGCGGGAGAGGUCGACGGUACUUCUGGGGUAGGGGUGAAAUCCUAUAAUCCCGGGAGGACCACCAGUGGCGAAGGCUGUCGACUAGAACGCGCUCGACGGUGAGGGACGAAAGCUGGGGGAGCGAACCGGAUUAGAUACCCGGGUAGUCCCAGCUGUAAACGAUGCGGGCUAGGUGUUGGGGUGGCUACGUGCCACUUCAGUGCCGCAGGGAAGCCAUUAAGCCCGCCGCCUGGGGAGUACGGCCGCAAGGCUGAAACUUAAAGGAAUUGGCGGGGGAGCACCACAAGGUGUGAAGCUUGCGGUUC
rnacentral:rRNA from 1 species